rnacentral:lncRNA from 1 species
CAGCCUGGUAAUGCGUUACCACUUCAAAUUAAAACCCACAGGAUCACUGGAAACUCGUUUAAUCUUCUUAGGAGUCAGUAUGGACCUGUUAUAGUUAGAUCCUCUGCCUUUGUUUGCAAAGCACGUUGGGGUUGUUCAGAUUGUUUUAAAUGUAACAUAGAAAUACAUUUGACUUGACAGCGUCGUGACAUUGAAAAGGCAGGGACUGGAACUGUGCAUCAGGCAGGGCCAAAGUGUUUCUAAGUUCUCUGCCCCUCCUGUUUUCUCACCAGGCAUCAACUACCCGACUGGUUUCCGCCUGUGCAGUCUGACAAUGCUGCCCACAGGUUCCUCAGAGGCGGAUCUUGGCUGCUUGAGCUUUGUUGGAUUGUUUAGGCAGACUUCUCGAGACCAGGCCAACAUUGCUGUACUGUUCGAUAUUUUUGCAUGAAUACUGGGGCUGGUGUGUUUCAGAGCAGACACAGCAAACAGACCAUCGAACAAUUCCAUCUUCUACAGUCGACUGUGACUAUGUAUCCAGCCUUACAGUCGGUAAAUCCCUUGUUUCCCUUGUGUCUGUGAAUCUUUAACACAACUCAGAGAGGAGCGGAGACACUUCUGUGGAGGCUUGAAGCAGUCAGGAAUAUUUUCUCGAUUUUUCUCUCCCAUCAUGGGGAAUGCAGCAUCUAAGUGCAGCAGGGAAGAUGACGGAGACGAGACAGGAGAACCAGAAUGGUUUUCGACAGCGGCAGCUGGUUCCGGGCCUGCUAGCUGGAGCCAUCUUGCCAGCGUGUCCAAAAUGAUGUCAGCAGGACCGUCCAUGAAUGCAAGAUCACUUUUCCAUACAUAUAGAUUUAUAUUGAUUUCUUAAUUUUUAUUGAAGCAGAUCAGUUUACAGACUCAAGUUAGGAACAGUAGUUUGUAUAUCUCAAACGUUGUAUGUCUCAAACGUUUUGGGAGGUUGACAAUAUGACAA